rnacentral:rRNA from 12 species
CUAAGCGUCACUGUCCUGGAACUGACCUAUCCCGGCAGAUCUCGGAAGCUAAGCAGCCUCAGACCUGGUUAGUACUUAGAUGGGGGACCACCUUGGACAACCAGGGGCUGCUAGA